CAAUACGUACUAGAUGAAUUUAAUGAAAAUCUAAUAUGAUUAUGAAAUCUUUGUGAGAGAACAGAGUUUCCCGUCAUAUUCAUACAAUUGUAAUAGUGUAUUUGUGCAUAUACAAAUUUUCAACUGUAUGAAAUCAGAAACUUUCCGUGGAAUUAUCAAUUAAAAUAAGGGAUUUCCUAUUAUUAAAAUUUUUCAUUGUAAAUAAUUAGUACUAUACAGUAUACACAGUCAAAUCAAUAUAAAAUUACAUAUGAAGAGAAUUAAAAGUGAAAUGGUUGAAAGUGAUAUGCAGGGAUACAAUUAUCCAAUUGGUCGCAUAAAAAAACCGGC
rnacentral:lncRNA from 1 species